UAAAGCCGAGGAUGAUUUGUUAUCCCUGUCUGAGAUAAUGAAGACGCUGUAAAAUCUGAGGCUUUU